rnacentral:rRNA from 1 species
AUUGAACGCUGGCGGCAGGCCUAACACAUGCAAGUCGAGCGGAGCGGCGGACGGGUGAGUAAUGCCUAGGAAUCUGCCUGGUAGUGGGGGAUAACGUACGGAAACGGGCGCUAAUACAGCAUACUAUCAGAUGAGCCUAGGUCGGAUUAGCUAGUGGGGGGGGUAAAGGCCUACCAAGGCGACGAUCCGUAAACGGUCUGAGAGGAUGAUCAGUAAAACUGGAACUGAGACACGGUCCAGACUCCUACGGUAGGCAGCAGUGGGGAAUAUUGGACAAUGGGCGAAAGCCUGAUCCAGCCAUGCCGCGUGUGUGAAGAAGGUCUUCGGAUGGUAAAGCACUUUAAGUUGGGAGGCGUUACCAACAGAAUAAGCACCGGCUAACUUCGUGCCAGCAGCCGCGGUAAUUC